rnacentral:rRNA from 1 species
AACACAUGCAAGUCGAGCGGUAACAGGUGUAGCAAUACAUGCUGACGAGCGGCGAACGGGUGAGUAAUGCUUCGGAAUCUACCCAAUGGCGGGGAAUAACUAGCCGAAAGGUUAGCUAAUACCGCAUAAGCCCUACGGGGGAAAGCAGGGGAUCGUAAGACCUUGCACCGAUGGAUGAGCCGAAGCCGGAUUAGCUAGUUGGUAGGGUAACGGCCUACCAAGGCGACGAUCCGUAGCUGGUCUGAGAGGACGACCAGCCACACUGGGACUGAGACACGGCCCAGACUCCUACGGGAGGCAGCAGUGGGGAAUAUUGGACAAUGGGGGAAACCCUGAUCCAGCGACGCCGCGUGUGUGAAGAAGGCCUGCGGGUUGUAAAGCACUUUUAGUGGGGAUGAAAAGUUCAGGGCUAAUAUCCCUGGAUCUUGACCUAACCCAAAGAAAAAGCACCGGCUAACUCUGUGCCAGCAGCCGCGGUAAUACAGAGGGUGCAAGCGUUAAUCGGAAUUACUGGGCGUAAAGCGUGCGUAGACGGUUAUGUAAGUCAGGUGUGAAAGCCCCGGGCUCAACCUGGGAAUGCCAUUUGAGACUGCAUAGCUAGGGUACGGAAGAGGGAAGCGGAAUUUCAGGUGUAGCGGUGAAAUGCGUA